AAAAUUCCAUUAGGUCCCGUAAUCCCCCUCAUCAGACAUCAGGCCGAAGCCACCCUCUCACAAAAUCUACUCUCUCUCUUUCCGUUCCACCGCCUCAAUCUCCUCCUCGUCUCUCUCUCUCUCUCUCUCUGCAAUCUCCUUGCUCAGAUUCUCUUGCUACCGUAUUCUCAAUGCUGAGCCUUCCUUCGCUCUCCCUUCCUCCGAUGCUUUAGCCGACUGCGGUGACGGUGUUCCGCCGCCGGAGACGACCCCGCCGAGGAUCCCUGCGGUGGUUCUGCGGGAUUUUUCUAGGGUUUUCCAGAUUGUUGGGUUGGCUCAAGUUUUACUCACGAUACGCCUGGUUAUUUGAGUUUACUCAUUUUCUGUCAGCAUCCGCCCCUCAUCAUGGCUCCGCCGCGUCGACGCGGAGCGAACAAGGCCAAGGCCAAUGGGCACUUGAGUCUUGGGGAUCUUGUUCUUGCCAAGGUCAAGGGCUUCCCAGCUUGGCCUGCCAAGAUAAGCAGGCCCGAAGAUUGGGAGAAAACCCCUGAUCCAAAGAAAUAUUUUGUUCAAUUCUUUGGUACGAAAGAAAUUGCUUUUGUUGCCCCAGCUGAUAUUCAGGCGUUCACCACUGAGUCAAAAAAUAAGUUGUCUGCUCGUUGUCAAGGCAAGACAAAGUACUUUGCGCAAGCUGUGAAGGAAAUCUGCAUGGCAUUUGACGAGUUACAGAAACAAAAAGCCAGUAGUUUGCGGGAUGAUACUGAUGAUUCACUCAUUGGCUCAGAGGUUCCUUUUGUUGAUGGGAUUACAGGUGACUUAAAGGAUGCUACUGAUAAUGUGGUGUCAAAUGAAGAAAAGGCUAAUGAUUGUGUGGGUAAUGCUGGCUCUAAGUUAGAGCGCUGCACACAGAGAUGUGGAGAAGGUGGUGGUCAAGAUGAAAAACCCUCAGGCUGUUCAAAUGACAGUUCAUCUCCUGCUAUUCCAGCUGUGAUGAAAAGUAAACCGUCUAGUGGUUCUGAGCUAAAGAAGGAUGCUAGCAAGUCUAGUCUAAACGAUUUAUCAUGUCUUAAGGGGGAAACUUCUGAUUCUAAGGAUGUAAGCAAAGUUAAUGACCUCAGGCAAGAUGACAAUGGACAGAAGGCAUUGGCGAAUGGGAACAAAUUAAAAAAACUAGUUACUGGUACAAAGAGAAGUGAUGGUGCAGAUGGUGGAUAUAAAUGUGGUGGCUCUGAUUUGAAGGCCGAAAAAUAUGAAAGUCGUGCCAGUCUUUCGAGGUCUGGAGAGUCAUCAAGAGGUGGAAAUAAAGGGAAGAAUGCAUUUGAUGUUAAAUCAAAUUCUCCAGAUGCUCUUAAAUCAGGAUCUGAUAUUAAUGGUGGAAAAAAAGAUAAGAACCUGGAAAAAGUUAAAACAAAUCUUAAGAUGAAGAAUGAGUUACAAGAGAUGGUUGAUUCAGAGGAGGCUGAUGGUGGAAUUUCUAAUAAGCCAAAGAAGACCCAAUUUGUUCGUGCAAAGCAUAAUGUGAGAACAAAUGAAACCUUACACGCUACCAAGAAAUUGAAGCAUUUAGAUGCUAAGGAUGAGUUGACUUUAGGUUCUCCCUAUGUAAAGCCAAAGAGUGCUUCACCUGCUGUUAUCGAAGACAAAGAAUUUAAAAAAUCAGAGUUGAGGAGGUCAACAUCACGUUUGAAAACAGAAAAGAGUUUGUCUUCAAGUGUUCAAACUGAUGUUGUUGGUUCUGAUGAUACUAUCCAUGAAGUGCAACCAGGGACAAAACAUCGUAGCCAAGUACGACAGGUCAAGUCUGAUUCUGCCAGCCCUGCUUCAGAUGGAAAAACAGGUAGGAGUAACGUUAGAUUGGAAAAUGAUGGAAAUAAUGUUACAGAAAAGCCAGUAAAGAGGAAGCGUAGAGCUGUUUGCCUUUAUGAUGAUGAUGAAGAAGAACCUAAGACUCCAGUCCAUGGAGGAGCUACUAAAAAUAUUAAAUCACCUGUGUUUCUUAGAGAGCCAAAGGGGAACAAUGCACAUUCGGGGAAUUCUGAUGUUGCUCAGCUGGGUAACAGGAGUUCUAGUGGAGUUGAGAAUAGCCGAUUAAAAGAAUCAUCGUCUCAAGUAGAAAACAACUCAUUGUUGUCUAGGUAUGUUAAAAUAGAGGAGACUGAAGAAGGAAUUCCGGUCCAGAUUCCUCGAAGCCCUGAGCAUUCAGAUUUAAAGCAGUAUCCAACCAAAGUGGCAAAAAAAGUAAGCUCCUCAUCUCCUGUGAAAUCACCUCAUUUGGUUCUUCCUUCAAAGUCAAAUGCUGAGUGGAAUAAAUCUUCCAAACCUGUGUUUAAAGUUUCUGCUAAUGUUACUCAAAAGAAGGCUGAUCUUGGGUCUUCAAAGGGUUUGAAUAGUUCCAACUCUUCUCACAAUCAGCUGACAACUCAUAAAAAGAAGCCCUUGUCUUCAAUGGAAGCGUCUAAAACUACUCCUACCUUGAGAGCUGGCGAAGUUCCUGUUGCAACAGAAAACUUGAAGGAGCAUGAUGGAUUUCUUGUUGAUAGAUUAGAAGUGGGCAUGGAUGAGAAAAAUUGUCUGUACUCUGAUUCAAGGACUCCUGAAGCUGCAAAAACUAUGAAACAUCUUAUUGCAGCUGCCCAGGCAAAGAGGAGGCAAUCUCAUUCUCAAUCUGUUCCUCUUGGAAUCCAUAAUGUUCAGGGAGAGACUCCCAGCCCAUCCGCUGUUCAGCCAUUUCUUUCUGUCUCAAGCAAUUUUCCACAGGUGGAUGUACAGGGAGCAUAUGAGCACUCACUUUUGGCUUCCCCAUCUGCUCAUCACUCUGCUUCUCUGAAUCAACCUGAAGCUGAAGAAGCUGAGGAAAGAAUAGUUGGUUCAGUGCAAAGGGGGCCAGGUGGCUCACUUAGUGGUGGUACUGAAGCUGCUGUUGCUCGCGAUGCCUUUGAAGGGAUGAUAGAGACAUUAUCAAGGACCAAGGACAGUAUUGGACGUGCCACUCGUCUUGCCAUUGACUGUGCCAAGUAUGGCAUUGCAAAUGAGGUUGUUGAACUUCUUAUACGAAAGCUGGAAAGUGAAACUAGUUUUCAUCGUAAAGUGGAUUUGUUCUUUCUUGUUGACUCUAUCACUCAAUGCUCACACAAUCAAAAAGGCAUUGCAGGAUCUUCCUACAUUCCUACAGUUCAAGCUGCUCUGCCUCGCCUACUUGGUGCUGCUGCUCCCCCUGGAGCUAGUGCUCGUGAAAAUCGUCGUCAGUGUCUCAAGGUUCUAAGGCUGUGGCUUGAGAGGAAAAUCUUGCCAGAGUCUGUGCUUCGUCGUUACAUGGAUGAGAUUGGAGUGUCUAAUGAUGACAUGGUGGUUAGCUUUUCUUUCAGACGUCCAUCUCGGGCAGAGCGGGCCGUGGAUGAUCCGAUUAGAGAAAUGGAUGGCAUGCUUGUGGAUGAGUAUGGAAGCAAUGCUACAUUUCAUCUGCCUGGUUUGUUAUCCUCGCAUGUGUUUGAGGAAGAGGAGGAGGAUGAUCUUCCUACUGGUUUAUUUAAAGAUUUGCAUGAUGUAUCUCCAUCAGAUCCCACUCCUACUAUUGGAGAAUCAGAAACUUCCACUGUUACCCCUAAUGAUAAGCGCCAUCGUGUCUUGGAGGAUGUGGAUGGUGAGCUUGAAAUGGAAGAUGUGUCAGGUCAUCCAAAGGAUGAAAGGCCUGUAAUAUUCAAUAAUUCAUCAGAAAUGGAUUUGCAACUUGAGGACUCAGAUUGGAAAUUAGAUUCUGCUUCAAACAUAUCUGCAGAGAUACCUGCUCCUGAUGGUUCUCCACCAUUGCCACUUGAUUCUCCCCCUCCUCCCCCUCCUCUGCCUUCUUCACCCCCUCCACCACCACCACCUCCAUCAUCUCCAUCCCCUCCACCACCACCACCACCUCCACCACCAGUGUUGCAACCUGCACCUCCUCCCUUGCCAUCUGGAGGUCCUCCACCAUCGUUGGUUCCUCAAUCAUCUGGACUAGGCUGGUCUUCAAUGCAUGCACAACCUAUAAUGCCACCUCAACCAUCACUUCAGUCAUCCCCGUCAUUGGGGUUUCAGCAGAGCGUAUCUCAUGACUAUAAUAAUGGUAGCACAAGUGGUAAUCAAAUAGUUCAAAUGGCUGGGAAUUCUUUUCCUGGAGGUCACAAUAAUGCCGUUGUGAAGGGUGAAAUAUUCCCACAGCCUGCUCCAACAGUGGGCUGCAGUUCACAGGAGCCCACUGGCUUUAGGCAACUGGAGUAUGGACAGAAUGAUAUGUACCUAAAUGGUCAAGUUCCUCAAAUUAAUCAGCAAUUUCAGCAGGGUAACCCCCCAUUUGCUCAGAGACAUGUGCAUUCUGCUCCACCUCAAAAUCCAUCAAAUCAGUUCUCAUAUCCAAAGCCCACAGUUCAACAACUUCCUCAUUCAUUCCAUCCCCCCUACUCUAUGCCAUCUCUUCCUGAUAGCCGGAGGCAAUUUGCUGCUGAUGAACAGUGGAGGAUGCCAUCGAGUGAUUAUAAAGCAACUAACCAACUUGGUGCAUGGAGAGGGAGAAACCCUCCAUGCCCGGGUCCACCCUUUGGUCAGGAAGGGUAUUUUCGACCUCCAAUUGAAAGGCCACCAAACAACAUGGGUUUUCAGUGUUCUGCCCCAAGCAACUUACCUGCUGCUCCCCCAAUAUCAGGACACAGUGUUCCUCAGAUGUUGCCCUGUAGGCCAGACAUGCCUGCUCUUAGUUGUUGGAGACCUACUUGACCAAAUUGAAGUUUUCAUUAGUUUUAAAUGAUGUGGCCAGUUAAUAAGCAAGGUUACUUUCUGUGCCUCAGUUAGACUUACAUGUGUAGCACCUACAUCAGAAAAUUUUGAAGACUUGUGGAGGCUUUUGGCAGGACUGUGUAUAUUGUAAUUUUUCCUGACAAUGUAUCCCAGGAACAUUUGCUUCCAAGUUAUAGGCCCAUAUUUCUGACUUGGUUUUGGCAAAACAAACCCAGAGAUGGUCGUUUCUCAGGUUUUAAAUGUGAUCACCUACCCUAGGAAUAAGGUCAAACUUCAUCACAUGCAAACACUGCAGACCAUUGAGAUUGACGACGACGAGGUUUGAGGAAUGGAAGGUUUUGUUGUGGACUCUUCUCCAUGAUUGAAAAUAAAGCCUAAGCUUAGUAUGGGUUUGUAUUUGAUGCGAAGUAUAUGUGCACCGCACCGCUUAAGUGUGAUUAUAUUUAAGUAUUUCGGAGUAUUAUGAAUAUUUUUCCCGUUUCCAUAUCAUUUUUUGUACAUGCAAAAGAGGAAUGAUGCGGAAACUAUCAUUUUCGCUCUAGGAUGAUUUCUCCUCUCUGCAAGCUAAUAUAUCUGGUCACCGUGUCAAUUAAUUCCUUUUUCUUUAUUCUUCACUUGAGAGAUUGGAAGCAAGUAAACGUCGUCUUAUGUAUUACUUAAGUAGGAAUUCCAUUUCACUUCAACACGUCGAAAUUGAUAGUUGUUUUGAAAUGUUAUCAAAUGUGAUUGCUUAGAGCCUUGAAUGAAUUAGUCUAGUUCUUGAGAACCAUACCACGGUUUCUUAUUCCAUAUAUAUGUAUGUAUGUAUAGAUUAAAUAAUAGAAAAUGUAACGUUACAAUUAAUUCAAUAAAUUUAAAUCGUAUUGUCUUGUCUACGACAUUCAUAAUGAAUAUAAUGCUGGUGCGUGUUCUUGAUUUCAUAUGUGACCUUGAGCAUGUUCUAGAUUGAUGAUAUUACGUUCGUUUACAUUCCAUUGUCUAACUAACAGUAGUUUGUCUGUAACAAAUGAAAUUCUUGUCUUUGCCUCAUAAAGGUGGAACUGAUUAAUAGAUUUGGGAGUUGAGUAUUACUUGCACGUGGACGAACUGCCUAUUCAAUUAUGCAUGUUUAUAUGAAGAUGCUGGUAAAAAAAAAAAUAAAAAAAAAAUUGCAAGCUGAAACCUGGCCAAGUGGACAUGUACAGUAAUUCCCUGUUGAAAUAACUUCUAAAUGACUUUUUUUGCCCCAACUGGAAAACAAUUAUUAUGCGCAAUGAGCAACUUGGCCGCUUACUGGAGAUCUAUUAAACUAAUAUUCUGCCAAGUUGUGCGAACCCAAGUUGGUAUCACGAGGAUUAUGUAUUAUGAUGUAUGCAUGAAUGAAUGCUAGUUUCUCAAAGGUAUUCCUUUCGUUACUAUUCUCUUAACAUCGCUAAGGAGCAGCAAGACUAAGUGGCAAAGUUUGUCUCCGUAGCGAGACAUUUGUGUUCAAGGCUUAAAUGCUAUGCUAUCACGUUGAUGCAGGAGCUAUAAGAGUGAUGAGGUAAACUGUAGAUGGAAAAAAAAAUAGUGACCUGUUGAAAGAUUCAUGUGUGAUAUUUGAUUCUUGUAAAAGAAGAAAGGAAAUCUGUGUGCCCAAAGAAAGGAAAUCUAAUUUACCUUCUCCAUAUCCGUAAACAUAGUAGCUUAUGUUGGGGAGCCUGAUAAAAGAAUCAAAAUUGUUGUGGCAAGCAACUAUAUAUGUUUAUCGAUUGCAGCUUUAUUUCUUCGACCAAUUGUGGGCUUGGGCAAGCCAUCAAACUUCGGCUUUGCCUGAAAAUCUGGUCUCAAACUCCAUUUUGAAGUUGGCCAGAUAGAUGGGGAUCUAGCCUCGUCAUAUAAACAUGAUGUGCUCGAUGAUUUCUUAACACCAGAGGGGCUAUCAGUUCGGCAAAUGUCCUCCAAAGCAAGUGGCCCAGAAUUUGAGGCACUAGCUUCAGAAUCUGUGGUCAAUGAAGCUCGGCUUGCUGAUUUCUGUCUGAGAGCCAGGCCUUUUCCUGUUCUUGAUGGAAACCCACAGGCGCCGCUAUUAUCCUCCCUCAAGAGCGUCUCCUCGGUAGCAGGCAAAAUAUCAGGCUGCUCCUCAAUCUCGCUCAAAAUGAUAUCAACUAGACUUUUAGAUUUUCGGUGACGACUCAGAGGUUGGUGGGUCGAAGCUAAGUUCUGCGAGGAUGAUACAUCUUCGGAGAAAUUAGAAGCCCCUUUUCCGUUCACUGCCAUCUGAAAGUCAUCGGAUAUGGUUUUCUUGUCCAUCGGUUUAAUUCUAUAGAAACCUUGCAAAGAGUUCCCACCCGGGGAGGACUUCCGCAGCGGAGAAUCCGUUGUCAAAGAAUGUUGCAAAUCAAACAGUUCAUCCGGCGUCCUGUGUCUGUAGAGCAGGGAAACGUUUUGGUCAUCAGUGUAUUAUAUGUCAAAUAGAACACCACUCACACCCAAAUAGAAACUGUGUAGUGCAAUUAAAAGUGAUAUGAUACAUCAUUCUUGGGUUUCCAUAAGCUUCAAAUGUCGUUUUUUAUGUCUUCACAUCUUACUAUGUGUCACCUAAUGCAACAAACUAUUUAAAUUCCAACCUUC